AUUUAUAUAGUAUAUUUGUAUAUAUGACUUCCAAUCAUAAGGACUAUUAAACAAUAAAUAGUGUAAAUA
rnacentral:tRNA from 1 species